GGCCUGGUGGUGAAUGGUUCACAUCCGCUUACUCUAGGGUGGAGUCCGACAAAUGUAUGUGGGAGUUCUCGGUUCGAUUCCGGGUCAGGUCA